rnacentral:rRNA from 1 species
UCUACGGGUGGCAGCAGUGGGGAAUAUUGGGCAAUGGGCGCAAGCCUGACCCAGCAACGCCGCGUGAAGGAAGAAGGCUUUCGGGUUGUAAACUUCUUUUAAGGGGGAAGAGCAGAAGACGGUACCCCUUGAAUAAGCCACGGCUAACUACGUGCCAGCAGCCGCGGUAAUACGUAGGGUGCGAGCGUUAAUCGGAAUUACUGGGCGUAAAGGGUGUGCAGGCGGUUUUGCAAGAUGGAUGUGAAAGCCCCGGGCUUAACCUGGGAAAGCCAUACAUGACUGCAAGACUAGAGUGCGUCAGAGGGGGGUGGAAUUCCAAGUGUAGCAGUGAAAUGCGUAGAUAUUUGGAAGAACACCGAUGGCGAAGGCAGCCCCCUGGGACGCAACUGACGCUCAUACACGAAAGCGUGGGGAGCAAACAGGAUUAGAUACCCCUGUAGUC